CAUACGAUCUAUGGAUGAAAGCGGGGGAUCUUCGGACCUCGUGCUAUAGGGGCGGCCGAUGGCAGAUUAGCUAGUUGGUGGGGUAAAGGCUCACCAAGGCGACGAUCUGUAGCUGGUCUGAGAGGACGACCAGCCACACUGGGACUGAGACACGGCCCAGACUCCUACGGGAGGCAGCAGUGGGGAAUUUUGGACAAUGGGGGCAACCCUGAUCCAGCAAUGCCGCGUGUGUGAAGAAGGCCUUCGGGUUGUAAAGCACUUUUGUCCGGAAAGAAAUCCUUUUGGCUAAUAUCCGAAGGGGAUGACGGUACCGGAAGAAUAAGCACCGGCUAACUACGUGCCAGCAGCCGCGGUAAUACGUAGGGUGCGAGCGUUAAUCGGAAUUACUGGGCGUAAAGCGUGCGCAGGCGGUUCGCUAAGACCGAUGUGAAAUCCCCGGGCUUAACCUGGGAACUGCAUUGGUGACUGGCGGGCUAGAGUAUGGCAGAGGGGGGUAGAAUUCCACGUGUAGCAGUGAAAUGCGUAGAGAUGUGGAGGAAUACCGAUGGCGAAGGCAGCCCCCUGGGCCAAUACUGACGCUCA
rnacentral:rRNA from 1 species